GCCAGGUGUGGUGGCUCACACCUGUAAUCCCAGCAGCUCAGGAGGCUGAGACAGGAGGAUCAUGAGUUCAAAGCCAGUCUCAGCACAAGAGAAGCACGAAGCAACUCAGUGAGACCCUGUCUCUA
rnacentral:sRNA from 1 species